rnacentral:misc_RNA from 1 species
GGAAAUGCUUGUAAAUAAAUAUGAAAAAUUUUGUUGAAACCCAACUAAUAAAGGUGGCGAUCCCUUUAGACAAUGCAUCCAAAAAUCAAUAGACUUGAAUUGUUCACCAUAUUCCCUUGAUAAGCUUAUCAGCAAUUCAUCACACACAGGUGUGACACAAAGGGCAUGACAAAGCCUUCUACUUUCCCACAACAUGGACAAGAACUUCUCCAAUGGAACAUUUUUUCGUUCAAAUAAUCUAAUCAUCAGCUUAUAUAUGUCAUGGUGAAAUUC